rnacentral:rRNA from 1 species
AAGAUAAUAUUUAUUUUUAUUAUUUAUAGAAAUAUAUGUUUAUUUGAGUAGUGAUUUGAAUAUAAAAUUUAAAAUUAUAGUUUAUUUGUAUUGUUAAAGAUUAAUAUUAGAUUUAUUUUUAUUAUAAGAAUAAUUUAAUUUUAGUACCUUGUGUAUCAGGGUUUAAUAAAAUAAUUAUAUAUAUUUAUUUCUCGAAUUUUAAAGAGUUAAUAAUUUAUAUAUUUAAUUGUUGAAUAAAUUUUUAUAAUAAAUUAUUUGUAGUGAAAUGUUAUUCGUUUUUUUAUAUAUCUAGUUUUUUAAGAAAUAAAUUUAAUUUAUUUAUUUAAAUUUAUAUAUUUUUAUUUUUUAAUUUUAUAAUUUAAUUUAAAAAUAUCAUAAGGGAUGAGCUUUAAGAUAAAUAUUUAUAAAUGAAUAGAAAUUGAAAAUUUAUUAGAAUUGUUAUUAUUUAUUUUAUUAUGUUAUAAUUAUUUUUUUUUAUUAAAUAAGAUUUUUUUUUAUUUUGAUUAUUUUAUUAAAAUAUGAAGUAUAUUUGGAUAUUUUAUGAAAUUAUUUUAAAAUUAGUAUUGUUUUAGUUUUAUAUAGGAUAUAUUGUUAGUUUAAAUUAAGGAAUUCGGCAAAUAUAUUUUUCGCCUGUUUAAUAAAAACAUGUCUUUUUGAUUAUAAUUUGAGGUCUAAUCUGCCCAAUGAUAAGUUAAAUGGCCGCGGUAAUUUGACCGUGCAAAGGUAGCAUAAUCAUUAGUUUUUUAAUUGAAAGCUGGAAUGAACGAUUGGACGAGGGAAUAACUGUCUUUAUUUAAAUAGCUAGAAUUUUAUUUUUUAGUAAAAAAGCUUAAAUUUUUUUAAUAGACGAGAAGACCCUAUAGAGUUUUAUAUUUUUUAUUAUAUUUAUUUAGAGGGAUAUUAUUAUAAGUAUGUAUGUUAUAUUUUGUUGGGGCGAUAGGAAAAUUAGAUAAACUUUUUUUAUAUGAAUUCAUUAAUUUAUGAUUUAUUGAUCCAUAUUUUAUGAUUAUAAGAUUAAAUUACCUUAGGGAUAACAGCGUAAUUUUUUUUGAGAGUUCAAAUCGAAAGAAGAGUUUGCGACCUCGAUGUUGGAUUAAAAUUAAUUUUUGGUGUAGGGGCUAAAAGAUUAGGUCUGUUCGACCUUUAAAAUUUUACAUGAUCUGAGUUUAAACCGGCGUGAGCCAGGUUGGUUUCUAUCUUUAAUAAAUUUAGAUAUUUUAGUACGAAAGGAUCAAGUAUUUAUAAUAAUUAUUUUAUAUUGAAUAAAAUU